GCCAGCAUGGCAUAGUGGUUUGAGUGUUGGACUACAACUCUAGGCACCAGGGUUUGAUUCCCAGCCUAGCCA